rnacentral:hammerhead_ribozyme from 1 species
AUCCAGCUGACGAGUUCCAAAUAGGACUAAACGCGCGUCCUGGAC